GAUGAAGAACGUAGCGAAAUGCGAUAAGUAAUGUGAAUUGCAGAAUUCAGUGAAUCAUCGAAUCUUUGAACGCACAUUGCGCCCGCCAGUAUUCUGGCGGGCAUGCCUGUUCGAGCGUCAUUUCAACCAUCAAGCCCCAGGCUUGUGUUGGGGACCUGCGGCUGCCGCAGGCCCUGAAAACCAGUGGCGGGCUCGCUGUCACACCGGGCGUAGUAGAUUUUAUCUCGCUCAGGGCGUGCUGCGGGUUCCGGCCGUUAAAAAGCCUUUUUUACCCAAGGUUGACCUCGGAUCAGGUAGGAAGACCCGCUGAACUUAAGCAUAUCAAUAAGCGUAGGA
rnacentral:misc_RNA from 1 species